rnacentral:lncRNA from 1 species
CCUUACCUGAAUCAGAGACCAUAUAACAGUCUAUGUAUUAUGGUCUCUGUCUGAAUAUGUCACGUCUUCAGCUCCCUGCAAUCGAGGUUGUGAAACAUUUCUGCUGUAGGAAUAUUACAUCCGCUGGGAUAUCCCUUGUCACACUGCCUGGCAUGGUAGGCAAACGCAUAUUCCAUACACUACAUAGAUAUACUUCCUAAUACACACUGUCGAAAUCCCCGCGGCUCCCAAUAUGGCCUGCAUGAACUGUAAUCGGCCAACCUCGUCUCUUUCCGUAACUGCUGCAGAAAUGACCGCUCGUCAUUCGUGACCAACUCGUGUUAUUCCGGGACAAGCAAGUCUACCCAUAACUCCCUGUAUGACCGAGGGCGCCAUUUUGGAACACAAAUGUAAACAAACACUUAAACCUCGUGUAAUCGAUGUACACCGUGAUGCUUGAUGGCGAUAUGCUUACCUCGUGUAUCAAUACAUUGUUCUCAAUCACCUCUAACACGGAAAUCCCGGUCGAAAUCCACCUGAGCCAUCCACAACGAGGACGUCAAGUAUUUCGAAAACUCGAUUGGCAGCCGAAGGAAGGAAGAGCAGCUUGCAGAUGCCAGCAUGUUCAGGGUUUGUGGGGAGGUUCACAGACAUCCUCAGGGAGGAUACCAAGUAUUGAAAUGUCCGGAUGAAUAAAAGAGACAGUCAUCUGUGCAGCAUCAAUGCAAAGAAAGACCAUAGAAGAGCAACAAAACUGAAGUCCUGCUUGAGAUCCCUGGAUGAGUAUUCCAGGUUGACAGUCUGGAAGGACGAGACAAGGGAGUCCUAAACAGAGGCUGCACCCCUUCAGAUAUCAGAGGUGAUUUGCAGACAGCGAUGACGAGGGUCCUGUUAUUUCAAUGGAGGCCGACCGAGAAGUUGUAUGCCAAAUGGUACUGGGACACACAAAGGCUGGUCUGGCUAAUGUGAGAAGACCAACCAAUGCCAAGGUGGAGUGGAAUUCUUCCAGGACAUUCAGGAAAUUCUUGUCUUGAGCCAUAUGGUAAACACUUGAAAGGAAUGAUAAAUGGGACUUAUUUUCUUUAAAUGUGGAC